rnacentral:lncRNA from 1 species
CUCAGGUCCCCAGGGAGCACCGUGGAGAGGCAACCUGAAGUACCUGGGCAUCUCACUUGGUCUCCCUGCUGCAGCCGCCAUCUACCACCUGAGCAAAAGGAGGUGACAGAGCGCCCUCGUCCCCAAAGCCGCUCAGGCCACCCCCACCCUUACUCACCCCCUCACCGCCACUCCCUCCCCAGGGCUCGCCGCCUCCUCUUCCCACCCCUUCCCAAGCCCGUGGGCGCCAAAGCCAUCCAGUUCUCGGCCGGCGAGAUGAGCCAGGGCCAGCACCGGACAGGCCUCCUGGAGCCCUCGGAGAGGUUCAACCCAGCCGAGCUGCUGCUGAUGGAGCCGAAUCCCAGCGAGGAGACGACUGACACGGGCACCCAGACUGCGGGGCCGCUCCCCGCCGUGUCGCAGCCCGGCCCCGCGCUGGAAAAGCCGGCGGCAGUGGUGAUGUCCCCGGCGGGCUGUGGGGAGGAGCUGCCCUUCGCCUACCGCAGGCAGGACAUGCUGAGCCCGGUGGGAUCUUCACCCUCUGGCAGCACCAGCUGCACCGGGCACCCACCCCGAGAGGAGGAGGAGGAGGAGGAGGAAGAGGAGGGAAGGCAGGGGCUGCAUCAGCCGCUGAUCCCCAUUGCCCUGCUCAUCUCCGACAAACCCAUCAUCAUCAGGGGUGAGGAAGGAUGGGAUCCCUCGCCGGAGAAGUCGGUGCCGCAGCCAUCAGCAGGCUGCAGCGGCGGGGAUGGACACGGGGGUGUCCCCUGGAAUGAGGGGUGUCUGUGUGGGACGCUGAGUGCCCAGUCCGUGGGUGGCACCGCCACUUUCAGGGGGGGUUUUGGUUUCCAGGGCACGGAAGGCAAUACCUCUGGGUGCAGCAUUGCACCGGGACAGGUUUUGGCCACAUAAUUUCCAACCUCAACAUUUCACCGGUGAUACAACCCAAGCAAAGGCGGCUGCAGAGUCUGGCCAGGACUGAGGGUAUUUCCAUGCCUGGACUGGGAGGAGAGGCAGAACUUCAUCCCAGCCAGCUGUUACCUCUGGAACCAGUAUCCUGGUGGGGAAGCAAAAAGCCCCAGCACUAAACACCAACUACCUGAAAAAAAAACCAAAAAACAUACAAAAAAAAAAAAGAAAGAAAACCAAAACAACACACACACAAAAAAAAAAAAAAUAAAAAGCCAGAAAAAA